rnacentral:rRNA from 1 species
GUACACUCCUACGGGAGGCAGCAGUGGGGAAUAUUGCACAAUGGGCGCAAGCCUGAUGCAGCCAUGCCGCGUGUAUGAAGAAGGCCUUCGGGUUGUAAAGUACUUUCAGCGGGGAGGAAGGCGAUAAGGUUAAUAACCUUGUCGAUUGACGUUACCCGCAGAAGAAGCACCGGCUAACUCCGUGCCAGCAGCCGCGGUAAUACGGAGGGUGCAAGCGUUAAUCGGAAUUACUGGGCGUAAAGCGCACGCAGGCGGUCUGUCAAGUCGGAUGUGAAAUCCCCGGGCUCAACCUGGGAACUGCAUGCGAAACUGGCAGGCUAGAGUCUUGUAGAGGGGGGUAGAAUUCCAGGUGUAGCGGUGAAAUGCGUAGAGAUCUGGAGGAAUACCGGUGGCGAAGGCGGCCCCCUGGACAAAGACUGACGCUCAGGUGCGAAAGCGUGGGGAGCAAACAGGAUUAGAUACCCCUGUAGUCCCAUGA